AUUGAACGCUGGCGGCAUGCCUUACACAUGCAAGUCGAACGGUAACAGGCGCAAGGUGCUGACGAGUGGCGAACGGGUGAGUAAUGCAUCGGAACGUGCCCAGUCGUGGGGGAUAACUGCUCGAAAGAGCAGCUAAUACCGCAUACGACCUGAGGGUGAAAGCGGGGGACCGUAAGGCCUCGCGCGAUUGGAGCGGCCGAUGUCAGAUUAGCUAGUUGGUGGGGUAAAUGCCUACCAAGGCAACGAUCUGUAGUUGGUCUGAGAGGACGACCUGCCACACUGGGACUCAGACACGGCCCAGACUCCUACGGGAGGCAGCAGUGGGGAAUUUUGGACAAUGGGCGCCAGACUGAUCAAGCAAUGCCGCGUGCAGGAAGAAGGCCUUCGGGUUGUAAACUGCUUUUGUCAGGGAAGAAAUCUUCUGGGCUAAUACCCCGGGAGGAUGACGGUACCUGAAGAAUAAGCACCGGCUAACUACGUGCCAGCCGCCGCCGUAAGAC
rnacentral:rRNA from 1 species